rnacentral:rRNA from 1 species
UAGGGAAUAUUGGUUAAUGUGCGAAAGCGCGAACCAGCAACGCCGCGUGUGCGAUGAAGGCCUUCGGGUCGUAAAGCACUUUUUGCAGGGAAGAGGUAGGACGGUACCUGCAGAAUAAGUCUCGGCUAACUACGUGCCAGCAGCCGCGGUAAAACGUAGGAGACGAGCGUUAUCCGGAUUUACUGGGCGUAAAGCGCGUGCAGGCGGCAUGGCAAGUUGGAUGUGAAAGCUCCAGGCUUAACUGGGAGAGGUCGUUCAAUACUGACAGGAUUGAGAGAGGUAGAGGGAAG